AGUUGCCCCAUCCAUAGUUGUCUCUGAACAUGCUGAAGGGCCGCCUCAAGUAUUUGGCUUUUUCGCAAUAAUGAAGGAUGGCAAAGAAGGGAGGGCAUCCCCUAUGUGCUCCACAGUAGUGUCAUUUGGAAGUGCAAGAUCAGAUGACAUCAUAGUAGAGACAGCUGCUGCUCAUGAGAAAUUACUUGAGGUCAACAUGGAUGGCGAGAUGCUGUAGGGAACAGUGGGACCGAUGCCCCAUCCACAGUUGCCCCAUCCACAGUUGUCU